rnacentral:rRNA from 1 species
GUAAAGCACUUUCAGUAGGGAGGAAGGUAGUGUAGUUAACACCUGCAUUAUUUGACGUUACCUACAGAAGAAGCACCGGCUAACUCCGUGCCAGCAGCCGCGGUAAUACGGAGGGGUGCGAGCGUUAAUCGGAAUUACUGGGCGUAAAGCGCAUGCAGGCGGCCUGUUAAGUCAGAUGUGAAAGCCCGGGGCUUAACCUCGGAAUUGCAUUUGAAACUGGCAGGCUAGAGUCUUGUAGAGGGGGGGUAGGAAUUUCAGGUGUAGCGGUGAAAUAGCGUAGAGAUCUGAAGGAAUACCAGUGGCGAAGGCGGCCCCCCUGGACAAAGACUGACGCUCAGAUGCGAAAGCGUGGGGAGCAAACAGGAUUAGAUACCCUGGUAG